rnacentral:lncRNA from 1 species
UUGACUGCCUGGAGAGUGGCAACAUUGCCAUGGCCCUCUUCCACCCUGCCCUCAUUGGAGGAAGGAAAUGAGCAGUAAUCAGAGGAGAGAAAUGAGGAAGGAGGGAGUCGGAAGCAGGGGUUCUGGAGGAAGCGAGGGCAUGCUCGAGGUUCAUGGGGACAGAGCAGCCUGUGUGUGAGCAGGAAGACACAGGUCUUAUUCCAAGUCACAUUGAGGGAAGCAGAGGGCUGCAGCAGGAUCUUGGGGAUCAGAGACCUUCUCCACUGUAGAUGUGAACCAGCUGAGGCCCUGGGAGGUCCAUGGAGGUGAGGACAGAAAGGGGCCCGAGACUGAGCUCCCUGCAGCAUCAUGGUCCUGAGGUUCCAUCUUGAUUCUAAAUCACCCCUUUCCUUUCCCAUGGCCUCCCCAACCUGGUGGCUGCCCCUGGACACAGAAUGUUACAUGGCAGAUAACGAGAAUUCUGACAAGGAAAGCAGAAUUAAGCGGAAGCGGAAACGCUCCCUGUUCCUGCGUUUAAGAAAAGCAUUUGGGGGGACAGCCUCCGAUGCCGAUGAUGAGCACACCUAGGAAGAGGCAGUGUCGAUGUGGCAGACCGGGGGUGCAAAGGUGAGGAGACAGAUGCGCCUGUUCUCCACAGCAUGCCCAACUUCCUUUUGGUUUUUCAGAAAGCCAGACAAAACUCUGUGUGGCCGCCCUUGUGUGUGACCACGAAGUGGAGAAAAGAGGAGGGUAUUAAUCCAUCCAGAGGAUGCCAUGAGCACACCUCCCAAGCAACACAUCCCCAUCCCAGGAGCCCCUGAGGUUGCUAGUCAGAGGGGCGCUGUAGGGCCAUCAAGUGCAUGACUCACUAGGGGCUCUUCCCAGUGUGUUCUUUUUUUUUUUUUUUUUUUUUUUUUGCUAUUUCUUGGGCCGCUCCUGCGGCAUAUGGAGGUUCCCAGGCUAGGGGUCUAAUCGGAGCCGUAGCCACCAGCCUACGCCAGAGCCACAGCAACGCAAGAUCUGAGCCACGUCUGCAACCUACACCACAGCUCACGGCAACGCCAGAUCGUUAACCCACUGAGCAAGGGCAGGGACUGAACCUGCAACCUCAUGGUUCCUAGUCAGAUUCGUUAACCACUGCGCCACGGCGGGAACUCCCCAGUGUGUUCUUUUUGAAGAGCCCCACUGGAGUGGUCCGACAUCCUCUGCAGGACCCAUCCCUGCAGUGCCAAUCCCCACCCCUCAAGUUACCAGGGAGCCUCCCCCCCAGGGAAUCA